rnacentral:rRNA from 1 species
CCUACGGGUGGGCAGCAGUGGGGGAUAUUGCACAAUGGGGGGAACCCUGAUGCAGCGACGCCGCGUGGGUGAAGGAGCGUUUCGGCGCGUAAAGCCCUAUCGGCAGGGAAGAAGGAGGACGGUACCUGACUAAGAAGCCCCGGCUAACUACGUGCCAGCAGCCGCGGUAAUACGUAGGGGGCAAGCGUUAUCCGGAUUUACUGGGUGUAAAGGGGGCGCAGACGGCCUGUUAAGUCAGCGGUAAAAGCCCGGGGCUCAACCCCGGCGAGCCGUUGAAACUGGCGGGCUGGAGUUGGAGAGAAGUACGCGGAAUGCGCGGUGUAGCGGUGAAAUGCUUAGAUAUCGCGCAGAACCCCGAUUGCGAAGGCAGCGUACCGGCUCCACACUGACGCUGAGGCACGAAAGCGUGGGUAUCGAACAGGAUUAGAUACCCGGGUAGUC